AAAUUACUCAAUUCAGAAUAGUUUUUCAUUAGCAAUGGUGUACCGUUGUGUAUAGAUAUAAAUUAAAUUACUCUAUAUUAUAUACUCUCAUCCAACUUCCCUCCUAAAUCAGUGACAGACCUAUCUGCAGUAUACGUAUCAGCCGUCUAUUUUAUCUUAUUUUUCCCUUUCCACUUGAGUCCGUUUUACACGAAGUGACUAUACGGACAUUAAAACUAUACUUAAACUAAGUGACUAC